GUGUGAAAUGGUAGCGUUUUGUCCCU
rnacentral:piRNA from 1 species